ensembl:lncRNA
GCAAGCCGUAUGAUAUGUUUCACUAGCCUGCUGAGGAGAGGACUCUGUGUGAAACCAUUCUGGAACCAUCGUUACCAAAACGCUUCGGUGGUAUUACUGAAUGAGGUUGUAUUCAUGACUGCACUGUCAGACUUGGAGCCUGCUAAAAAGAGACUGCGGGUUGAAUUUGGCCUCCAAGCACCUGUCGGCUCAAGGAGCCCUCUUUCAUUGGCUAUUAAAGCAAGUUCCAAAGAGGCAAGUCUACACGCAAUGGAGGGGCAGCAGCAUAGUGCCAAAGCAACAUCUCUUAGUCAGAAAAACAAUCCCAAGUCCCAACAGAAUAACCCUGAUAAGUGGCUGUUGGAACUUCCCCAAAGCACCACAAGCCCAGCUUAUGACAUGUGUGAAGCUGCUGAACAACAAAUAGAGGAUGUAGAGAUGGUGAGUCCAGACAGCUCCGAGUCUGGCUGCAGUCACAAGAUCCAGUUUAUGGAGACAGAGACCGAGGCCCAGACCCACAGUUCAGACUCUGAGGAACCUGUUGUCUCUAGUAUUAUAGACGUGGAGGAUGAAGAGACAGUGCCCUUAACACCAUGUGACAGCUUAAAGGAUCAUAAACCCGUUUUGCAAAUCACCACAGAUCACAGGCCUGUCUCAGAAGUCUCCACAGAUCACAUUCCCGUCUCGCAAAUCACCACAGAUCACAUGCCGGUCUCUGAAGUUCCCAAGGAUCACAAGCCGGUCUCGGAAGUGCUCAAGGAUCACAAGCCGGUCUCGGAAGUGCCCAAGGAUCACAAGCCGGUCUCGGAAGUGCCCAAGGAUCACAAGCCGGUCUCGGAAGUGCCCAAGGAUCACAAGCGGAUCUCGGAAGUGCCCAAGGAUCACAAGCCGGUCUCGGAAGUGCCCAAGGAUCACAAGCCGGUCUCGGAAGUGCCCACGGAUCACAAGCCGGUCUCGGAAGUGCCCAAGGAUCACAGGCCGGUCUCGGAAGUGCCCAAGGAUCACAAGCCGGUCUCGGAAGUGCCCAAGGAUCACAGGCCUGUCUCAGAAGUCUCCACAGAUCACAUUCCCGUCUCGCAAAUCACCACAGAUCACAAGCCGGUCUCGGAAGUGCCCAAGGAUCACAAGCCGGUCUCGGAAGUGCCCAAGGAUCACAAGCCGGUCUCGGAAGUGCCCAAGGAUCACAAGCCGGUCUCGGAAGUGCCCAAGGAUCACAAGCCGGUCUCGGAAGUGCCCAAGGAUCACAAGCCGGUCUCGGAAGUGCCCAAGGAUCACAAGCCGGUCUCGAAAGUGCCCAAGGAUCACAAGCCGGUCUCGGAAGUGCCCAAGGAUCACAAGCCGGUCUCGGAAGUGCCCAAGGAUCACAAGCCGG